AACGCACCUUGCGCUCUCUGGUAUUCCGGAGAGCAUGUCUGUUUGAGUGUCAUGAACUCUUCAACCCACCGGUUCCUUGUUGGACCGGAUUGGUGUUUGGAUUUUGAGUGUUGCUAUUUAGUUAGCUCAUUCGUAAUACAUUAGCAUCUCAAUUUCGUAAUCGGAUUGACUCAGCGUAAUAGACUAUUCGCUGAGGACACCAUUUUGGUGGCCGAGACAUGAAAGAGUGGAAGCUUCAAACCCCUCCUAGUCAUUUUUAGAUUAGACCUCAGAUCAGGCAGGAUUACCCGCUGAACUUAA
rnacentral:misc_RNA from 4 species